rnacentral:rRNA from 1 species
AACGAACGCUGGCGGCAGGCUUAACACAUGCAAGUCGAACGCCCCGCAAGGGGAGUGGCAGACGGGUCAGUAACGCGUGGGAAUCUACCGUGCCCUACGGAACAACAGUUGGAAACGACUGUUAAUACCGUAUACGCCCUACGGGGGAAAGAUUUAUCGGGGUAUGAUGAGCCCGCGUUGGCGUAGCUAGUUGGUGGGGUAAAGGCCUACCAAGGCGACGAUCCAUAGCUGGUCUGAGAGGAUGAUCAGCCACAUUGGGACUGAGACACGGCCCAAACUCCUACGGGAGGCAGCAGUGGGGAAUAUUGGACAAUGGGCGCAAGCCUGAUCCAGCCAUGCCGCGUGAGUGAUGAAGGUCUUAGGAUUGUAAAGCUCUUUCACCGACGAAGAUAAUGACGGUAGUCGAAGAAGAAGCCCCGGCUAACUUCGUGCCAGCCGCCGCAGUAA